AAUGUUUCAACGAUUCCACGAUUACUUUGCGAAAUGAAAUAGUUUCUGAUCCUUGUCGCCUGUGUCUCAUGCACACUGUUUGCAAUUUGUUCUUCCAUAAUUUCUUCGCAAAGAUCGAUAAUUGCCUUCAGUGUUAGGGCCAUAAUUGUGUCAAUUUUGUUUAUUGUAAAUCAGGUGUAAUUACACCUGUCACAUCGGAUACACCUUGUAAUAGCUUUGUAAAGUGUAAAGCCUGAAUUUACAGUGUGAAACAAUGUACAUCAGUUGUAUUUUAACAACCACGACACCAGUGGAGGUUUUGAUCGAUGAUACUUUUAAAUUCUGGUAAGUCCGAUCAUAGCUGAUUGGCAAUGUGAAUGUUGUUUCCCUUUGAAGCGAUGCGCGUUGCUAUGUCUAUACUGGAAUUAUCAUCUUCGCGACCAGUAGGCCAAAUAAACUAAGCUGUCUUUCUCAACGGCUGAAUCCAUUACAGUGGUCAGGUAAGGGCCACUAAUUUAAUUAUCCUAACCGUCGUUAAUGUAAGAUACUUUGCACCCAGUUGCAGGCCUAGAUAUCUGAGUAGUUUCCCUUUUUCUAUGAUUGUUUUCUAGUGGUCGGGUAAGGACCACUAAUAUACGUUUUCCUUCUGUUUAUACCACAUCACCGGUCACAAAUUUCCACUGUACAUUGUAGUAACAAACCUAGCUCCGCUAGGAAGACUUCUUUUAUUUUCAGCAACUUGCAAUUAGAUAAGGAGGUCCAGUAAGCCAUAGUGCUCAUGUCAGGAGCUGAUGGCACGAGGAACCGGAAGCAGGGAGGAGGAACAACGGAUGCUGGACGACCCUGCUUGUCGGGCAACCCAUUACUGAUUUCCCAGAGAUAACGGUCUGCAAGAUGAGAUGACAUUCUGGACGAAGAUUCAAAUCCCAAGGAGCCGGAAGCAGGGAGGAGGACCGACGGAAGGACUGAUGACCUGCUUGUAGAGCAAGUCUUCACCAA